rnacentral:misc_RNA from 1 species
AAUUGGUUAAUAUUUGAUAUUUAUGUCUGAUCGAAUUAUAUCAUUUUCUAAUCAAUCAUAUCCAUGCAAUUGCCGGUAUUAAUUUGAAAUUUAAAAUUAUAGGUCUGUUUGGUAUACUACCUGACUGUGUUUACCGAUUAUUGAUUUCUCAGCUUUCUAAAUUUUAUUUUUAUUUAUUUUAAGCACUCUUAUAUUAAUCUUUAAAUGUGAUAUACAAUCUACUUAAUUGCAUGUACUUGUAUAAUUAAUCGCAUAUGUACAGUAUGUAUACAUAAUGUUUGGAAAUUGUUGGACUUUAGAAUAAAUCAGAUAUCUCCAAGUUUG